rnacentral:rRNA from 1 species
AUUGAACGCUGGCGGCAUGCCUUACACAUGCAAGCCGAACGGCAGCACGGGAGCAAUCCUGGUGGCGAGUGGCGAACGGGUGAGUAAUGUAUCGGAACGUGCCCAGUCGUGGGGGAUAACGUAGCGAAAGCUACGCUAACACCGCAUACGAGCUAUGGAUGAAAGCGGGGGAUCGCAAGACCUCGCGCGAUUGGAGCGGCCGAUAUCAGAUUAGGUAGUUGGUGGGGUAAAGGCUCACCAAGCCGACGAUCUGUAGCUGGUCUGAGAGGACGACCAGCCACACUGGGACUGAGACACGGCCCAGACUCCUACGGGAGGCAGCAGUGGGGAAUUUUGGACAAUGGGCGCAAGCCUGAUCCAGCAAUGCCGCGUGCAGGAUGAAGGCCUUCGGGUUGUAAACUGCUUUUGUACGGAACGAAACGGUGAGCUCUAUACAGUUUGCUAAUGACGGUACCGUAAGAAUAAGCACCGGCUAACUACGUGCCAGCCGCCGCGGUAA